GAAAUCCGCUAAGGAGUGUGUA
rnacentral:snRNA from 1 species